AGGGGUUCCGCCUCAGCGGGAUGCUGUGUGUUUUCCUCUUCUGGUUGCCAGGACCCGAGACAAGAUGCUGGAGCCCCGGCAGCCAAGCGAGGGUGGAGUCUAUGUGCUAAGAAUGGAAGCUUACAGGUUGGAGAAGAAAAUGGCUGGUGGGAAUGCGGCGGGGAGCAUAACGUGGUUUUGAAAUGAGGAAAAGCCCAUUGCUCGGAGGGGAACCGAAAGUUUAUCAGUCACCUCAUCGGCCCCAGCGCUCAUCUGCGAAGCAUCCUUCCCUUCUCUAAGCUGGGAAGGCCUCAGGAAUGAAGACUCUACUCCCACCCCAUGCUGGUACUAUGGGCGGGGCGGGGCCCGAAUCUCUGAACGCCUGAACCUUGCAGAAAUGAAGAGUCAGAUAUAGUCACAUGUCCAGGUUCCAGAACAUUCAGCAAACU